rnacentral:rRNA from 1 species
GACGAACGCUGGCGGCGUGCUUAACACAUGCAAGUCGAACGGAAAGGCCCUGCUCUUGUGGGGUGCUCGAGUGGCGAACGGGUGAGUAACACGUGAGUAACCUGCCCUUGACUUUGGGAUAACUUCAGGAAACUGGGGCUAAUACCGGAUAGGAGCUCCUGCUGCAUGGUGGGGGUUGGAAAGUUUCGGCGGUUGGGGAUGGACUCGCGGCUUAUCCGCUUGUUGGUGGGGUAGUGGCUUACCAAGGCUUUGACGGGUAGCCGGCCUGAGAGGGUGACCGGCCACAUUGGGACUGAGAUACGGCCCAGAAGCCUACGGGAGGCAGCAGUGGGGAAUAUUGCGCAAUGGGGGGAAGCCUGAUGCAGCAACGCCGCGUGCGGGAUGACGGCCUUCGGGUUGUGAACCGCUUUCGCCUGUGACGAAGCGUGAGUGACGGUAAUGGGUAAAGAAGCACCGGCUAACUACGUG